AGUUUGUGACACCUCUCUCCCCCUUGUCACAACAUGUCACAUUUUCUUGACCCCCUCCCUCGCCCUAAACGUGUGAUGUAAUUAUAAUGGAUGACCCCUAAGUAGAUUAUAAAAUGGUUAUAAACAUAGGUUUAGUAUAUGAAUAAGUUACUAAUAUAAUAUGGAAAUUUAAUUCUGCAAUAAAUGAUUAUUUUAUUCAAUUAAUUGAGGUCACUAAUUAACCAUUUUUAUUACAGUCUGACUACAGGAGAUGAAGCAGAAGUGAAUAUAGACGAUGCAGACAGAGGCCUCUCUUCGAUAAAGUUAUACUUCAAAGGCACCCACACCUCACUAAUAGUCCGUGCGGAAGGGAGACAGUGGCACUACAUCAUUGGCCCUUCCUCUCUGUUCCCCGAAUGGUUCUACGAAGAGCACGAAGUACAAAAAGACGCAAUCGGACCAUACGUCGAUGUUCCUAAAGAUGUGACCGGCGAGUUUUAUAAUGCUCUCUUUCAUUUGUUGACUAUGUUUUUGAGUUUUCCAGUUUAAAUAUAGUUAGUAUUUUAUACAAUCGUGAUAUAAUAGAGCUUUUCAGUCGUACGUAGUCGCGACGAAGAUUGCUGAGUUGCCUAAGUAAGGUACGAAAUUGAAAAGCUUGAUUAUAUCACUAUUGUGUACAAUAAUUUUUCUUCAAAAUCAUGUAAAAUAAUACAAUUUUGCUAUAAAACCUAAAUAAUUAAUGAAAAUUGGUAAGAAUCUCAAUAGACAUUGACACACGCAUUGAAUGAAUAUGCUCAUGAAAUAGCUGCCCGUCUAUGUCUUUUCUAUGGGAGCGCGGCGGCAUGCGAUUGGGCUUUUCGUUAUUGGUCAAUUCUUUUUAGUUAAUUACAGCGUAUCGAAAUUAAUAUUAUAGUUGAGUUGGGAGCCUAUGCAUGAAAAAUACGCGAUUAUAGUUUGACGUACCUACGAAAUCUUAAUAGACGACAAAAGACGAUUCCAUAAUAAAAAUACCUAAUCUACAAAAUAACUUUUCUUUCUUAACUCCUCUGCGUUUCAUUCCAAAAUAUAUGAAACUAGGUAGUUUCUGCCUGAAAAUUCGUCUGCGCGGGAUGAUGACGAGCUAUCCUAUGUCCCCAUAUUUCAUCUAAAUCGGUUCAGCGAACACAUUCAUAGCCAACGUUUUCGUAGCGCUACGCUCUUAGCCGAUCCCAGCGUUUUCCCGCUUUGUAGAGGAAAGCGACUACGAAUAGAGAACUCGCCGAGCAGGUUCCCGGCACUCAAUGUGUUAAGUUAAAUGAAAAGUGUAGAGCAAUUUAUAAUAUAGAUAUACGCUGCGGUAGUGUAGGUAUAUAUUAUACAUUAGCACAUCAUGUUUAAAUUCUAUUUAUAAAUACUAACACUAGGUUAAGAUAAGAUAUUUUCUUGUUGUACAGUCAAGUGUAAAAAUAUGGGUGUACACAUCUUACUCAAAAAUAUGUCCCAUAGCAUCUUAUUGCAGUGUAAUAAGAGCGUGGUACCAUAUUUACGAGACGUUUUUUCUAUACAUAUUUUUGCACUUGACUCUACUAACACUAUAUGGAUACAAUAUUUGACCGAAAUAAAGAAAUUUAUUUA